rnacentral:rRNA from 1 species
UACAGGGGGGGCAAGCGUUGUUCGGAAUUACUGGGCGUAAAGGGUUCGUAGGUGGCCAACUUAGUCAGACGUGAAAUCCCUCAGCUUAACUGGGGAACUGCGUCUGAUACUGGAUGGCUUGAGUGCAGGAGAGGAACGCGGAAUUCCAGGUGUAGCGGUGAAAUGCGUAGAUAUCUGGAGGAACACCGGUGGCGAAGGCGGCAUCCUGGACCGACAUUGACGCUGAGGCGCGAAAGCUAGGGGAGCAAACGGG